UUGUGGAGCUUGCGCAGACCCUUGCAAAGGACAAAGUGGCAUUAUAAGGAAUUAAACUUUCAAGGACUGCAGCCGCUUACAAGAUGGUACAUGGAUUGGGCCGGACCUACUCGGAAAGGACUUUGUCUUACUUGAGGAGUAGACCUUUUUCUUUAAACAUAGAUGAAAGUACAACAAACAACAACAAAAAGGUAGGCUAUACAGUGAAAUAUGCAUAUGCACUGGUAAGCAUUUUGAUGGAUUCAUGUGCGGUCAUGAGAGGAAGCAAAACUGGGUUGGAGACAAGAAUCCGUCAGCACUGUCCAGGGCUUCUUGACAUAGAUGGGGACUCCUGUCAUCAUAUGCACAAUUGUGCAAAGAAGUUUGCAGAGCCAUUUGAACGUCACCUGGAGCAGUUAUUCAGUGAUCUGCAGAUGGACCACCAGUGGUGCCCAGAUCAGGUGCAGCACUUUAAGGAGCUAUGCCUUAUGUUGAACAUUCCUGCCUCCAGUCCUCAGAGAGGGUUUGUAAACCAUCGCUGGCUUUCAGCAUAUGACGCCAGCAUGAGCACUUACAGCAUGCUACCAGCUUAUAAAAUCCUGUAUUUUGGGUACUUGAGCGUGGAGGAGCAGGAACUGUACAAAGAGCCCCUGGAAGUCUUAUACACCCAAUACAGUGUGAGUCAGACAGGAAAAAGCAGGAUCAGGUCGAUGCACGAAGACCUCAAAAGGAAAGGUAUGACCCAGCAAAGAUCGCAAGAAGAGGGUGUGCCAACAAAUCUGGCAUCUGGAGCCAAUCACAAAUCUGCAGCUGAGUGUUUACAUAGGUGUCCUGGCCAUUUUAAAGGAGUACGUCAUGGUUUUCCAGGGAGGUGAAAUGUUGGUGCACAAGCUACAUGGAAGACAGCUCGAGCUGUUCAUGUCCUUCUUGGCCUGCUUCGUUAAGGGGGAGUACUUCACAGCAUUGUCACCCAGGGCUCUUGUUGACCUGGUCUUGGAGGACCACAUGAUGUUGCCAGCAAGAGAGAUCUAGGUUGGAAAGGAUGCAGACGCAUUUAGGGCAAAAACUCCAAAUCAUGCUCAACUGAAGCCAUUCAUGAAGAAGCUAAAAAUGGCCUACACAACCACUGCUGCCUAUAUGCAGGCCAAGCUUCCCUUAAACAGCCAGACCCUGAAGGCCCUCUUCGCUCUGGACCCACUUUUGAGAAGCCAUUCUCAAGGACCAAUCCAAUUGAAGAGGCUGAGUGGAAUGUUGAGACAUCUCCUUCCACCAGGCUGUGAUGUCCACCAAGAAAUAAUCAAGUUCGGUGUUGAUCUGGCGUUACCGACAAUCACCUGGCAAGAGGAAAGUCAGCCGUGGAGUUAUUCAAAAGGGAGGAUGUGUCUUGUGGGGUGGUGGAU